UACGUAGGGGGCAAGCGUUGUCCGGAUUUAUUGGGCGUAAAGAGCGUGUAGGCGGCUUGGAAGGUCAGCUGUGAAAACUCGAGGCUCAACCUCGAGACGUCGGUUGAAACCACCUGGCUAGAGUCCGGAAGAGGAGAGUGGAAUUCCCGGUGUAGCGGUGAAAUGCGCAGAUAUCGGGAAGAACACCCGUGGCGAAGGCGGCUCUCUGGGACGGUACUGACGCUGAGGUGCGAAAGCGUGGGGAGCAAACAGG
rnacentral:rRNA from 1 species